AUUGAACGCUGGCGGCAGGCCUAACACAUGCAAGUCGAGCGAGCGGCGGACGGGUGAGUAAUGUCUGGGAAACUGCCUGAUGGAGGGGGAUAACUACUGGAAACGGUAGCUAAUACCGCAUACAAUCAGUUGUGCCCAGAUGGGAUUAGCUUGUAGGUUGGGUAACGUCUCACCUAGGCGACGUCCCCUAGCUGGUCUAAGAGGAUGAACAGCCACACUGGAACUGAGACACGGUCCAGACUCCUACGGAAGGCAGCAGUGGGGAAUAUUGCACAAUGGGCGCAAGCCUGAUACAGCCAUGCCGCGUGUGUGAAGAAGGCCUUCGGGUUGUAAGGCACUUUCAGCAGGGAGUCGUUACCCGCAGAAGAAGCACCGGCUAACUCCGUGCCAGCAGCCGCGGUAAUUC
rnacentral:rRNA from 1 species